AUGGGGAAGGUGGUCGUCGCGGAGGCCACGGCGCGGCAGGUGGCGUCCUUCGUCCUCGGCGCCGCCGCGGCGCUCACCGUCGUCAUGCUCGUCCAGUACCGGGCGCCGGCCGCCGGGCUCAGCCGCGCCAGGACGCCGGGCCACUUCUCCGGCUUGAAGUUAUCAUCCGACGAACAGCACCACCGCCGUAACGGGACGGCAGCAGCGCGCGCCGUUGUGCAUCAUCGGGCGCCACCGGUCGCCGGCAGUGCUGCCCGAGACGACGAUCGUCGCCGUCCGGCGAACGCCACAACAGUCACAAAGCCCAAUUCUACCUCCACAAGUCAUCUUCCCAGCACGCAUCGCCAUGAAGAAAAGGGAGGGAAGGAGGAGUCGGCGGAGUUCCGGGGGCUGGCGGCGGCGGUGGCACGCGCGGCGAUGGACGACCGGACGGUGAUCAUCACGUGCGUGAACCAGGCGUGGGCGGCGCCGGGCUCCCUGCUGGACCUGUUCCUGGAGAGCUUCCGCAUCGGCGACGGCACGGCGCGGCUCCUCCCACACGUGCUCGUCGUGGCCAUGGACCCUGGCGCCCACGCGCGGUGCCUUGCCGUGCACCGGCACUGCUACCACUACACCAUCCCGGGGCUCAACAUCGACUUCGCCGCCCACAAGUACUUCCUCUCCAAGGACUACCUGGAGCUGGUGUGGAGCAAGCUGAAGCUGCAGCGCCGCAUCCUGGAGCUUGGCUACGGCUUCCUCUUCACCGACGUCGACAUCGUGUGGCUGCGCGACCCGUUCAAGCACGUGACGGCGUACGCCGACAUGACGGUCUCCAGCGACGUCUACUUCGGCGACCCCGACAACCUGGGCAACUUCCCCAACACGGGGUUCUUCCACGUGAAGCCCAACGCGCGGACCAUCGCCAUGACGAAGCUGUGGCACGGCGGUAGGGACAAGUACCCCGGCGCCAACGAGCAGCCGGUGUUCAACAUGAUGAAGAAGCAGAUGGUGGCGGAGCUCGGGCUCCGGGUGCAGUACCUCAACCCGGCCUACGUCGGCGGGUUCUGCAGCUACGGGAAGGAUUUGGGGAAGAUCGUCACCAUGCACGCGAAUUGCUGCGUGGGGAUUGGGAACAAGAUUAGGGAUUUGAAGGGCGUGCUGGGUGAUUGGAGGAACUAUACCAGGAUGCCGCCCUGGGAGAGGCACCGGGCCAAGUGGACCGUGCCCGGCGCCUGCAUCCGAGCCGAGAAACAAGUUUGA
rnacentral:rRNA from 1 species